rfam:Sus scrofa isolate TJ Tabasco breed Duroc chromosome 1, whole genome shotgun sequence.
CCCCUGGUGGCCUAAUGGUUAAAGACUCAGUAUUGUCACUGCUGUGGCUCAGGUUUGUUCCCUGGCCUGGGAA